rnacentral:rRNA from 1 species
GAUCAUGGCUCAGGAUGAACGCUAGCUACAGGCUUAACACAUGCAAGUCGAGGGGCAGCAUUGGGAUAGCUUGCUAUUCAGAUGGCGACCGGCGCACGGGUGAGUAACGCGUAUCCAACCUUCCUGCCAGUAGGGAACAGCCCGGCGAAAGUCGGAUUAAUGCCCUAUGUUCUUCAAUGCGGACAUCUAAGUUGAAGGAAAGAUUCAUCGCUGGCAGAUGGGAUGCGUCCGAUUAGCUUGCCGGCGGGGUAACGGCCACCGGGGCGACGAUCGGUAGGGGUUCUGAGAGGAAGGUCCCCCACACUGGUACUGAGACACGGACCAGACUCCUACGGGAGGCAGCAGUGAGGAAUAUUGGUCAAUGGGCGUAAGCCUGAACCAGCCAAGUAGCGUGCAGGACGACGGCCCUACGGGUUGUAAACUGCUUUUAUGCGGGGAUAAAGUGCGGCACGUGUGCCGCUUUGCAGGUACCGCAUGAAUAAGGACCGGCUAAUUCCGUGCCAGCCGCAGC